rnacentral:lncRNA from 1 species
GAUUGCUUAGAAACUAGCGGUUAAAGAUGGAGUCUAGGGAACAGUCGAGAGUCACGCAAAUGUUAGAGGUGCCCUUGGCCUCAUGAGUGGUCGGUAGAAGGCGGCUGCAAGGAGCCUUUGAAAUGGUGCCGAGUUCUUCCUCUGCCAGAAAGCCUUUCCUCCGCGCUGACUGUGUCAAAGGCUACUCCCAGAUCUGUGGAAAGCUGAAUAAAUGAACAGGGCCAUUUGACAGAGUGUAACCCACACCAGACCUGUUGUGCAAUGCCUUGAACAUUCACAGGGAGAUCAAGUAUUUUGCCCAAGAGCACACAGCUAGAGAGUGGAGAAGUCCGGAUUCAACCCAGACAGAUUGACUCCAGAGCGUGUGCUAUUCGUGGCUAUGCCAGAAUGCCCUGAUGGCCUCAGGUUUGCCUUGCCAACUGACAAAGGCGACUGUUUCCUACCCAUUGGCUCAGAUGGUUCCAGCUUCCUACCCUUCCAGUUAAAAUAAACAAAAACGAGGGUCUUGAGUGUCUAUGAUUUUCAUAAGAUCUAUGGCGUUUCUUCUGCAGAUGAUCAACAGUUGCCUGCCUUGGACUUUGGAGUUCCCAAGAACUAGGUAGGUAAUGGAAUUAGGUCACACUGACAUCCAGUGAUGGAAUUUGCCCAGUGACAUUAAUGCAUCGAUUGCUUCCUAUAUAUUUCAGUGUCAUAAACAAAGUUUCUCUUUCCUUUUCAAGAAGAAAAGAGCAUGGUGGAAACAGAGAAGUGUGUCUUUUGUUUGGUCAGCAAGGCAGGAAAGGCCUUGUGUGCUCUGUCCGUCAACACUGAUAAGCUGUGACAUCGGGAGGCUGGGAGGAUCCCCAGCUGUUCCACCUACACUGGGUCCCAGGGCGCGUGAUCCUGCUCAGGAAGCAAGGGGAGCUCAAACAGGGAAAGAUGAGCACCAUGAACACAAAUAGUCUACUCGGAGUUUCUUAAAUUAUUUGAGUAUCCAUAUAUUUGACUUCAAGAGACCUUUAUUUUCUGGGGUUCUUCCUUGUAGCUCAAAGAGUAUGUGUUUUGAACAUUUCAUGUGGUGCAGCCCCUCUACAAAAGCCUUCCUCCAAAAGAGUCAAAAUCUUAAGGAAUCUAGCAAAACUAGAACAAGAUGCAUCAUAAUUGGUUUCUAUAAAUUAAGAAACAAUUGAUUUUUAAUUUCUUAAGUAUAUUUGUGGUUAAGUAUAAUGGUAUUUGAUUUCUUAAGUAUAUUUGUGGUUAAGUAUAAUAGUAUUUGGUGCAUUUUAUUCCAUUGUGAAGAGUGUUAAUGAUUAUAACUAACAAGUUUUAUGUGCUUUACAAUUUCAAAUGCCUCCUACAAAGUUUAUAUUUGUUCAUUUGGUUCUCUUUAGCCCUCUCUGAAAUGAAGAAAACUAUUACUAUCCUACUUUUACAGAUGAGGAGACUGGAGUUCAGGGAACAUACUAGGCUAAGGGUUUUGCCUUAGAGGCAGCCUGUGAAAAGUAAAGGAGCAAGAAGUUGAACCUAGUUCAAGUUCCAAAACCCAUUCUCCUCUUAUCCACUCAAUGGAUAAAUCAAGAAAAGUGAGAAACUUAUUCUUGAAUGUCCAACACAGGCUAGGUAAUUUUACACAUACGAUUUCAUUUAGAAACUACAAGUCAGGUACUAUUAUCAGGGAUAGAGAAAUUAAGAUUCCAAGAGGACCAAUAACUUAACAAAUGCUUGGUAAAUGAUUGAGCCCUUUUAGUGAAAAAUAACAGGUAAUUCUAGGAAAAAAGAUGUUCUUGAACUAGAUCAGCUUACUGAAAUUUGUUAGGAGUGCAACCCUAGGCAGAAUAUCUCACAAAAGGAAGCUUAUGUGUAAAAAGUGGAGUUCGGUUGGGUUUUUUUUUUUUUUUUUUCUAUUCUGAGGAAUAUUUUCUUUUCCUUUUCAGAAAAUCCAGGUCAGGAACUGUAUCUUUGCUCAGCCACCUGCAAACAGACUUGAGAACAAUGUAAACCACCCUCUGCAGGAUAUUGAUUCUGAUGGAGUAAAUGUUGAUUAAGCAGA